rnacentral:rRNA from 1 species
UACUCCCGCCGGCGACCGGCGCACGGGUGAGUAACACGUAUGAAACCUGCCCGUAGCAGGGGGAUAAGCGGAAGAAAUUCCGUCUAAUACCGCGUAACAACCCGAGGAGGCAUCUCCUCGGGUUUAAAGGAAGCGAUUCCGGCUACGGAUGGUCAUGCGUCGCAUUAGCUAGUUGGGCGGGGUAACGGCCCACCAAGGCGACGAUGCGUAGGGGUUCUGAGAGGAAGGUCCCCCACACUGGUACUGAGACACGGACCAGACUCCUACGGAAGGCAGCAG